ACGGGUGAGUAACACGUGGGAACCUUCCCUAUAGUACGGAAUAGCCCAGGGAAACUUGGAGUAAUACCGUAUACGCCCGAAAGGGGAAAGAUUUAUCGCUAUAGGAUGGGCCCGCGUAGGAUUAGCUAGUUGGUGAGGUAAUGGCUCACCAAGGCGACGAUCCUUAGCUGGUUUGAGAGAACGACCAGCCACACUGGGACUGAGACACGGCCCAGACUCCUACGGGAGGCAGCAGUGGGGAAUAUUGGACAAUGGGCGCAAGCCUGAUCCAGCCAUGCCGCGUGAGUGAUGAAGGCCUUAGGGUUGUAAAGCUCUUUUGCCGGGGACGAUAAUGACGGUACCCGGAGAAUAAGUCCCGGCUAACUUCGUGCCAGCAGCCGCGGUAAUACGAAGGGGACUAGCGUUGUUCGGAAUCACUGGGCGUAAAGCGCACGUAGGCGGAUUUGUAAGUCAGGGGUGAAAUCCCGGGGCUCAACCUCGGAACUGCCUUUGAUACUGCAGGUCUUGAGUCCGAUAGAGGUGGGUGGAAUUCCUAGU
rnacentral:rRNA from 1 species